rnacentral:rRNA from 1 species
GAUGAACGCUGGCGGCGCGCCUAACACAUGCAAGUCGAACGGCACCCACCUCCGGGUGGAAGCGAGUGGCGAACGGCUGAGUAACACGUAUGCAACCUGCCCCCUUCUGGGAGAUAACCCAUAGAAAUGUGGCCUAAUAUCCCAUAGUCGGUCCAGCCGCAUGGCCGGGCCGGGAAAGGCGAGCCGGAAGGGGAUGGGCAUGCGGCGCAUUAGCUAGUUGGCGGGGCAGAGGCCCACCAAGGCGACGAUGCGUAGGGGUUCUGAGAGGAAGGUCCCCCACAUUGGUACUGAGACACGGACCAA